rnacentral:rRNA from 1 species
UACGAAGGGGGCUAGCGUUGUUCGGAAUUACUGGGCGUAAAGCGCGCGUAGGCGGUUCUCCAAGUCAGGGGUGAAAGCCCGGAGCUCAACUCCGGAACUGCCAUUGAAACUGUUGAACUUGAGGACGAGAGAGGUGAGUGGAAUUCCCAGUGUAGAGGUGAAAUUCGUAGAUAUUGGGAAGAACACCGGUGGCGAAGGCGGCUCACUGGCUCGUAACUGACGCUCAGGCGCGAUAGCGUGGGGAGCAAACAGG